GGUUAGGUUAUUUAGAAUGCCCCCUGUUAGUUAGAUGCUGUUUUGUUUGUUAUUUUGGCCUGGCUCUCCCCUGCUUUUUGGGGCAGAAGACUGGAGUGAUCUUUACACAUUUUUUCCUUAAGUUUUAAGUUACUUUGUUACUCCCACUCCCACCUCUAGAAUUGGGGAAUGGGAACGUAACAAGUGGGGGCUCGUCCACUUGUCUGUUCGUCCGCUCAUCUCUUAAUUGGCUGGUGACACUUAUUCUGACGGCACCCAUUGACUGCUGAGGAUCCAUUGGUGAGCAAGUGAUGUUAUGCUAAACUUCUCCAAAUAUGUUCCCAUGAAGAAACAAACUCAUCUUCAUCUCUGGCCUGAGAAGCCAGGCUCAAUAUUGGGUAACCCCACAUCGCUGGGUUCGUUCUUCACCGUCAGAAGGCAAGCGACAGCAACAGUCAUGCAGAUCACCCCAGACACGGACAUGAUGAUUCUCCAAUUAUAGUACUGAACCAAC